rnacentral:lncRNA from 1 species
ACUAUUUCCCUUCUAUUUUCUCUUUUUAUACUUUUUUACAUAAGGAAUAUAUAUUGUCAUCCUUCUUUUCUUUUUCUAUUUGUUUUAUUUUUCUUUCUUUUUCUUUGUCUAUUUUUUUCUUUUCUACCAAUCUUAGAAACAUCACAGUUAUAUUAAUUCAACCCCACACAACUCCAAACAAUACUUUUUCAACCCUUUG